CGUCUCAAUGUGAACCCUCGAGUCCUCACUCUGAUACAGGAACUCUCUGAUCACGAGUGGCGUUAAGCCAAAAUAUGGACUCUUUCUGUGGACUCUGACUCUUUGUUUGAGAAGAGGUACUGUUAGUUUUCACUGUUAAAUUCACAAUGUGUAUUAUGUUUAUUAAAGCACUAUAUAAUUUUAUUUUUGGUUUUUUUUAAGUCUUAAAGGUGCACCUAACUUUUUCUGGUAGCGAGUCCACCACCUGCUUGUUUCAUGAAGAUGUUCUUUCUUUGGGGGAAUGUUUUACAAUAUGGUAUAAAACUUAUCUAUCUUGCACUUAUUCAAUUAUAACUCUUUUUAUUGCAAAAAAUACCUUACCAAACGUGAGGGGGCUCGCCUGUAGAUCUGACCUGUAACUUGGCCUUUUGGCAUCACCUGAUUGUCUCCAUGGAGAUAGAUAAAUUUUAUGCCAUACUGUGGAACAUUCCAGACAAGGAGAGUGUGGGUUGUUGUUGUUGUGUGCCUGGCACGUAAACUUUGAAGCUUUGAACUUGUUUGAAGAAAAAUUCAUCCAGUUGUUUACAACUAUUGACGAUGGCUGUUAAAUAAAUAAAUUUCUCAAGUUA